GGUGGGUUGGGAGAGAUGAGCCAGGGUGGGUUAAGGGGAAGUAGAGCCAGGUUGGGUUAAGGAGAGAGAUAGAGCCAGGGUGGGUUAAGGAGAGAGGGACUGGGGAUGAGAUAGACCAGGUGGUUAAGGGAGGAUAGAGCCAGGGUGGGUUAAGGAGAGAGAUAGAGCCAGGGUGGGUUAAGGAGAGAGAUAGAGCCAGGGUGGGUUAAGGAGAGAGGGACUGGGGAAUGAGAUAGAGCCGGGUGGGUUAAGGAGAGAAUAGAGCCAGGGUGGGUUAAGGAGAGAGGUAGAGCCAGGGUGGUUGUUAAGGAGAAAGAUAGAGCCAGGGGUGGGUUAAGGAGAGAGAUAGAGCCAGGGUGGGUUAAGGAGAGCGAUAGCAGGGUGGUUAAGGAGAGAGUAGAGCCGGGUGGGUAGGAGCGGAGGGACUGGGGAGUGAG
rnacentral:lncRNA from 1 species